rnacentral:rRNA from 1 species
UAGUCCACGCCCUAAACGAUGCUCACUCGGUAUUGGCGAUAUAUUGUCAGUGCCUAAGGGAAACCAUUAAGUGAGCCACCUGGGGAGUACGUUCGCAAGAAUGAAACUCAAAGGAAUUGACGGGGAUCCGCACAAACGGUGGAGCAUGUUGUUUAAUUCGACGCAACGCGAAGAACCUUACCUACACUUGACAUACUCGUCGGGACUUUCAGAGAUGAUUGUCUUCGGUUCGGCCGGACGAUGUACAGGUGCUGCACGGCUGUCGUCAGCUCGUGUCGUGAGAUGUUUGGUUAAGUCCAGCAACGAGCGCAACCCCUAUCGUAUGUUGCCAGCAUUCAGUUGGGCACUCAUGCGAGACUGCCGGUGUUAAGCCGGAGGAAGGUGGGGACGACGUCAAGUCAUCAUGGCCCUUACGUGUAGGGCUACAAACGUGCUACAAUGGGAGUUACAGUGGGCAGCGACGUCGCGAGGCGAAGCUAAUCCCUAAAAGCUCUCUCAGUUCGG